rnacentral:tRNA from 1 species
GGAAGUUUGGGUGAGUGGCUGAAACCAGCAGUUUGCUAAACUGCCGUGCGAGUAAUCGUACCAGGAGUUCGAAUCUCCUAGCUUCCGCAA